rnacentral:lncRNA from 10 species
ACUCCAGGUAGGCUCUGGCAGCCUCAGACUCCAGGCAGCAGCCUCGAGAUGGGCUGUGGAAGAGGAUGGGUGGCCCCACCCCCUCCAUUCUGCAGCCAUCCUAUGGACUCUAAAUAUGUUUUGAUAUACUUUAUAAAUAUGCAUAUGUGUUAUAUAAAAUAUGUAUUUUCUUAAUGUCACUUCUUUGGGAGAGAAACAGUGAUGUGUGUGUGUAUUACAAAAAUGUUGGAUAACCCAGCUGCUCCUUCAUGCUCCUCUCUUCCCUGGGGCAGUGAGGCCACCAUCAAUGGCCCAAGUGCCCUGACCUGAAGCGUAGGGAGCCUCCUGUCCUUUUGGCAGGGAGGGUCGCUGGGCCUUGUUGGAUUCCCUCCUAUCCCUAAAAAGGUCAUUAAACUCGCCUAACUGAGUAAUUCGCAGCCUCCUGCUCCAGCCUCGCUCCACAGCCUUUCCCUUCCCUCACACCCAGCGCCACUUGAAAAAAAAUUAUUAUUGCUAAUAAACAACGUUGUUUUUCUUUUUAACCCCUUUAGCUUGCUCCCCCACGGAUCCUACUCCAUCCCACGACAAAUUACAGUUUCUCUUUAUUCUUUCUCAGG